rnacentral:snRNA from 1 species
GUGCUCACUUUGGCAGCACAUAUACUAAAAUUGAAACAAUACAGAGAAGAUUAGCAUGGCCCCUGCACAAGGAUGACAUGCACAUUCAUGAAGCAUUCCAUGUUUUU